rnacentral:rRNA from 1 species
AUACGUAGGUGACAAGCGUUAUCCGGAUUUACUGGGCGUAAAGGGCGUGUAGGCGGUCUUGCAAGUCAGAAGUGAAAUUCCUGAGCUCAACUCGGGCGCUGCUUCUGAAACUGCAGGACUUGAGUGCUGGAGGAGAUAGCGGAAUUCCUAGUGGAGCGGUAAAAUGCGCAGAUAUUAGGAAGAACACCGGUGGCGAAGGCGGCUAUCUGGACAGUAACUGACGCUGAGGCGCGAAAGCGUGGGGAGCAAACAGGACUAGAUGCCCUGGUAGUCCACGCCGUAAACGAUGAAUACUAGGUGUAGGGGGUAUCGACUCCCUCUGUGCCGCAGUUAACACAAUAAGUAUUCCGCCUGGGGAGUACGGCCGCAAGGUUGAAACUCAAAUGAAUUGACGGGG